UACAGAGACUGCAAGCGUUAUUCGGAUUCACUGGGCGUAAAGGGUGCGCAGGCGGCCGUGUGUGUCAGGUGUGAAAUCCCGGGGCUCAACCCCGGAACUGCGCCUGAAACUACAUGGCUAGAGUAUUGGAGAGGGUAGCGGAAUUCACGGUGUAGCAGUGAAAUGCGUAGAUAUCGUGAGGAACACCAGAGGCGAAGGCGGCUACCUGGACAAUUACUGACGCUCAGGCACGAAAGCGUGGGGAGCAAAAGGG
rnacentral:rRNA from 1 species